AUUGAACGCUGGCGGCAUGCCUUACACAUGCAAGUCGAACGGCAGCACGGGUGCUUGCCCCUGGUGGCGAGUGGCGAACGGGUGAGUAAUACAUCGGAACAUGUCCUGUAGUGGGGGAUAGCCCGGCGAAAGCCGGAUUAAUACCGCAUACGAUCUACGGAUGACAGCGGGGGUCCUUCGGGCCUCGCGCUAUAGGGUUGGCCGAUGGCUGAUUAGCUAGUUGGUGGGGUAAAGGCCUACCAAGGCGACGAUCAGUAGCUGGUCUGAGAGGACGACCAGCCACACUGGGACUGAGACACGGCCCAGACUCCUACGGGAGGCAGCAGUGGGGAAUUUUGGACAAUGGGCGAAAGCCUGAUCCAGCAAUGCCGCGUGUGUGAAGAAGGCCUUCGGGUUGUAAAGCACUUUUGUCCGGAAAGAAAUCCUUGGCCCUAAUACGGUCGGGGGAUGACGGUACCGGAAGAAUAAGCACCGGCUAACUACGUG
rnacentral:rRNA from 1 species